AAACGCUACUACAGGCUUACCACUGCUAGUGAGGGGCCGAUAUUAGUUUGCUUGCAAACUGAAGAUGGAGACGGCGCACGGGUGAGUAACACGUAUCCAACCUGCCGAUAACUCCGGGAUAGCCUUUCGAAAGAAAGAUUAAUACCGGAUAGUAUACGAAUAUCGCAUGAUAUUUUUAUUACAGAAUUUCGGUUAUCGAUGGGGAUGCGUUCCAUUAGUUUGUUGGCGGGGUAACGGCCCACCAAGACUACGAUGGAUAGGGGUUCUGAGAGGAAGGUCCCCCACAUUGGAACUGAGACACGGUCCAAACUCCUACGGGAGGCAGCAGUGAGGAAUAUUGGUCAAUGGGCGAGAGCCUGAACCAGCCAAGUAGCGUGAAGGAUGAAGGCUCUAUGGGUCGUAAACUUCUUUUAUAUGGGAAUAAAGUUUUCCACGUGUGGAAUUUUGUAUGUACCAUAUGAAUAAGGAUCGGCUAACUCCGUGCCAGCAGCCGCGGUAAUACGGAGGAUCCGAGCGUUAUCCGGAUUUAUUGGGUAUAAAGGGAGCGUAGGUGGAUUGUUAAGUCAGUUGUGAAAGUUUGCGGCUCAACCGUAAAAUUGCAGUUGAUACUGGAUCUCUUGAGUGCAGUUGAGGCAGGCGGAACUCGUGGUGUACCGGUCAACUGCUUAGAUAUCACGAAGAACUCCGAUCGCGCACGCAAGCUGCUAUGCUGCACUGACAUGAAGCUCGCAGUGUGGGU
rnacentral:rRNA from 1 species